rnacentral:rRNA from 1 species
AACGAACGCUGGCGGCAGGCUUAAUACAUGCAAGUCGAGCGGGCACUUCGGUGUCAGCGGCGCACGGGUGCGUAACGCGUGGGAACAUGCCCUUAGGUACGGAACAACACAGGGAAACUUGUGCUAAUACCGUAUAAUAUCUCCGGAUCAAAGAUCUAUCGCCUAAGGAUUGGCCCGCGUUAGAUUAGGUAGUUGGUGGGGUAAUGGCCUACCAAGCCGACGAUCUAUAGCUGGUCUGAGAGGAUGAUCAGCCACACUGGAACUGAGACACGGUCCAGACUCCUAAGGGAGGCAGCAGUAAGGAAUAUUGGACAGUGGGCGAAAGCCUGAUCCAGCCAUGCCGCGUGAGUGAUGAAGGCCUUAGGGUUGUAAAGCUCUUUUAGAUGGGAAGAUAAUGACUGUACCAUCAGAAUAAGCCCCGGCUAAAUUCGUGCCAGCCGCCGCAGUAA